rnacentral:rRNA from 1 species
GACGAACGCUGGCGGCGUGCUUAACACAUGCAAGUCGAACGGAAAGGCCCUGCUUUUGUGGGGUGCUCGAGUGGCGAACGGGUGAGUAACACGUGAGUAACCUGCCCUUGACUUUGGGAUAACUUCAGGAAACCGGGGCUAAUACCGGAUAGGAGCUCCUGCUGCAUGGUGGGGGUUGGAAAGUUUCGGCGGUUGGGGAUGGACUCGCGGCUUAUCCGCUUGUUGGUGGGGUAGUGGCUGACCAAGGCUUUGACGGGUAGCCGGCCUGGGAGGGUGACCGGCUACAGUGGACUGAGAUACGGCCCAGACGCCUACGGGAGGCAGCAGUGGGGAAUAUUGCACAGUGGGCGGAAGCCUGAUGCAGCAGCGCCGCGUGCGGGAUGCCGGCCUUCGGGUUGUAAACCGCUUUCGCCUGUGACGAAGCGUGAGUGACGGUAAUGGGUAAAGAAGCACCGGCUAACUACGUG